rnacentral:rRNA from 1 species
CCUAAAGGCGUAAUGAAAGUAAAAAUGGGAGACGCUUCAGUCAACUAAGGGAGGAUGAGUUACUUUACGAUGUAUCUCCGCACUCCCGGGGCGUCUUGUUCUUAUUACAAGAAGAGGCGCACCUAGAGCGUACACGUUGGGACCCGAAAGAUGGUGAACUAUGCCUGGUCAGGACGAAGUCAGGGGAAACCCUGAUGGAGGUCCGUAGCGAUUCUGACGUGCAAAUCGAUCGUCGGAACUGGGUAUAGGGGCGAAAGACUAAUCGAACCAUCUAGUAGCUGGUUCCCUCCGAAGUUUCCCUCAGGAUAGCUGGCACUCAUUAGUUCAUUAUGAGCUUAUACGAAUCUCAUCUGGUAAAGCGAAUGAUUAGAGGCAUUGGGGCCGAAACGACCUCAACCUAUUCUCAAACUUUAAAUGGGUGAGAUCUCUGGCUUGCUUGAAAAUAUUAAAUGAAGCCAUGAGAUUUCGGAUCAGAGUGCCAAGUGG